rnacentral:rRNA from 1 species
GUCUGCAUGGAGCCGACCUUGAAAUACCACCCUUUAAUGUUUGAUGUUCUAACGUGGACCCGUAAUCCGGGUUGCGGACAGUGUCUGGUGGGUAGUUUGACUGGGGCGGUCUCCUCCUAAAGAGUAACGGAGGAGCACGAAGGUUGGCUAAUCCUGGUCGGACAUCAGGAGGUUAGUGCAAUGGCAUAAGCCAGCUUGACUGCGAGCGUGACGGCGCGAGCAGGUGCGAAAGCAGGUCAUAGUGAUCCGGUGGUUCUGAAUGGAAGGGCCAUCGCUCAACGGAUAAAAGGUACUCCGGGGAUAACAGGCUGAUACCGCCCAAGAGUUCAUAUCGACGGCGGUGUUUGGCACCUCGAUGUCGGCUCAUCACAUCCUGGGGCUGAAGUAGGUCCCAAGGGUAUGGCUGUUCGCCAUUUAAAGUGGUACGCGAGCUGGGUUUAGAACGUCGUGAGACAGUUCGGUCCCUAUCUGCCGUGGGCGCUGGAGAACUGAGGGAGGCUGCUCCUAGUACGAGAGGACCGGAGUGGACGCAUCACUGGUGUUCGGGUUGUCAUGCCAAUGGCACUGCCCGGUAGCUAAAUGCGGAAGAGAUAAGUGCUGAAAGCAUCUAAGCACGAAACUUGCCCCGAGAUGAGUUCUCCCUGAGACUUUAGGUCUCCUGAAGGAACGUUGAAGACGACGACGUUGAUAGGCCGGGUGUGUAAGCGCAGCGAUGCGUUGAGCUAACCGGUACUAAUGAACCGUGAGGCUUAACCUUACAACGCCGAAG